AGCAGCCGCGGUAAUUCCAGCUCCAAUAGCGUAUAUUAAAGUUGUUGCAGUUAAAAAGCUCGUAGUUGAAUUUCGGGAUCAAUGUUUCGGUCAUGCCGUUGGUAUGUACUGAUAUUAUUGGUUUCUCACCUUCUAAAGAACCGUAAUGCCAUUAAUUUGGUGUCACGGGGAAUUAGGACUGUUACCUUGAAAAAAUUAGAGUGUUUAAAGCAGGCUCACGCUUGAAUACAUUAGCAUGGAAUAAUGAAAUAGGACAUCCGAUUCUAUUUUGUUGGUUUCUAGGAUCGAUGUAAUGAUUAAUAGGGAUAGUUGGGGGCAUUAGUAUUCAAUUGUCAGAGGUGAAAUUCUUGGAUUUAUUGAAGACUAACUACUGCGAAAGCAUUUGCCAAGGAUGUUUUCAUUAAUCAAGAACGAAAGUUAGGGGAUCGAAGACGAUCAGAUACCGUCGUAGUCUUAACCAUAAACUAUGCCGACCUAGGGAUCGGAUGAUGUUAAUUUUUUAAUGACUCA
rnacentral:rRNA from 1 species